AGAUUCCAGAGAGUGGCCUGGGGCACAAGAUACUCAACCAGAGCAGACAGUGUCAGCCUCUGUCAUGGAAAGUGCAGAAUCUGGAGCUAGAGAAAAAUUUAAAAAGCCACAAGGAUGUGAAUUGCUGAGCCUGAGAUAGAAGAGGUAGGGAAAAAAAACAUAAGAACCUGCUUGUCUUCUGUUGAGUUAAAACGAACUAUUUUUUAAAAUAGUGUGAAAUAAAGGAAAUGAGAGACAUAUUAAGGAUAUGCUACAGUGAAUGUAGAGACAAGUGUAAGAGGGAUUUAGAAAGACAUAUUUAAUAUGUUUUUCUGAGUAGUUUUAAUGAGAACUCACUUUGAUAUUUAUAAGGAGAUAACAAACUUGAUGUAAAUUAACUUACAAUCAUUUUGGGUUGUCAUACUAAAGUUUCUUAAAAUGUGACUUGAUGUCAGAACUAGAGCAAAAAUCUGCUUAGUUUAAAGUAAUUUGUUUAAUUGUUUGGAAUUUCUCUUGGCAUUCUUAUUUCUCUCCCCAAAUACAGUGUAUGUUUCUGAAAAGCAAAGGUUCAGUGUUUCCCAUAGUAACUA
rnacentral:lncRNA from 1 species